ACUAGAUAAACCAAUUGGGC
rnacentral:snRNA from 1 species